AGAAAGUUUUAUUUAAACUUAAAAUUUUAGUUUAUUUUUAUUUUAUAUGUAAAUUUUAUUAAUUAAAAAUUUAUUUGCAGUUUAAAGUUUUAGAAAAUUAUUUAUGUAAGUUCUAUUAAUAGAUAAAAGAUUUAAUAAAAUUUGUGCCAGCAAUUGCGGUUAUACAAAUAAUUCAAUUAAAAUUUAUUGGUUAAUAAUUAAUUAUGUUAUUUUAAAUUUAUCAUUAAAAUUUUUAAGUGAAAUUAAAAUUUUAAUUUAGGUUUUUUAUUUUUGUAUGAAGUUAUUAAAAUUAAUAUUAAACUAGGAUUAGAUACCCUAUUAUUAUAAUAGUAAAUUUGUAUACCAAAUUAGUAUUAGUUAUAUUCUUAAAAAUUAAAAAAUUUGGCGGUAUUUUAGUCUAUUCAGAGGAACCUGCCCUAUAAUUGAUAGUUCACGAUUAGUUUAACUUUUUUUUAAUACUUGUAUAUCGUUGUUUUUGAAUAUUUUAUAAGAAUUUAAAUUUUCAAUAAGUAUAUAAUAGUUUAUUUCAGAUCAAGGUGCAGUUUUGAGGAAGAAGAGGUGGGUUACAUUAAAAUUAUUUUUGGUUUAGUAUUUUUAAUAAUAUUAUUAAAUUGGAUUUGAUAGUAAUAUUUUAUAUAUUUGAUAUAUGAUUAUAGCUCUAAAAUGUGUACAUAUUGCCCGUCACUCUCAUUAUUUUGAGAUAAGUCGUAACAAAGUAGAUUUACUGGAAAGUGAAUCUAGAAUUAA
rnacentral:ncRNA from 1 species